AAUCGGCAUUCUAUUGCUGAUUAGUCUUCCAACAGCAUUUGUUAAUGCAAAUCAGCACUAAAUCAUUAGCAUUGUCAAAAGCUAAGAUAAUGCUGAUUAAGUGCCGCUACUAGCAACACUUCUAAAAAUUUCCAUCAAACUGGCAACACGAUUCUGACUUUGAGUGAAGUGUGAAAGAGAGAGUACCAGAGUAAACAAACUUCUUGCUCACUCUUGCAGUCACACAGUCAGGAUUUUUUUUGUACAGAAAUUGUUUUUUAAUAUAUAUUUAGGUGUUUUAUCAUUUUCUACAGAAUAAUCCAUCGUCUCAAUGUCGGAGACCUUCAAGCAGCCGUUCCCGCGAGUCCCGCUCGGGUGUUGGUUCAACGGUUGGCCCACAAGAAGUCCGGAAUUUGCAAGAGGCAGUGGCACCGAGUUUCAGGACAGUUUCAGAUGCACCGUCGAAGGCUAUGACCCGCAUGACGUCAUCGGCAACAACGGAGAGAAUAAGCUAGGUUGCUACCCUAAACCGGGAGGGAGUUGUUUUGGUUUUCGUGUGACGUGCUUGGCAAAUAAAUGUAAAAAUAAAGUAAAUUCACUUUCAUUUAAAAUGGAGACAUUAGUUUUAUAAGCAUUUAUAUGAUGUCAAAAGAUUCCAAUAAAAAGAAGUUUAGUGUCCAUUCAUA
rnacentral:lncRNA from 1 species